rnacentral:rRNA from 1 species
AAGCCCCGCAAGGGGUAAGUAGAGUGGCAAACGGGUGAGUAACACGUGGGUGACCUGCCUUCGAGUGGGGGAUAACGUCCCGAAAGGGACGCUAAUACCGCAUGACAUCCUGCUCUUGGACGAGCGGAGAUCAAAGCUGGGGAUCGCAAGACCUGGCGCUUGAAGAGGGGCCCGCGUCUGAUUAGCUAGUUGGUGAGGUAACGGCUCACCAAGGCGACGAUCAGUAUCCGGCCUGAGAGGGCGGACGGACACACUGGGACUGAGACACGGCCCAGACUCCUACGGGAGGCAGCAGUGGGGAAUUGUUCGCAAUGGGCGCAAGCCUGACGACGCAACGCCGCGUGGAGGAUGAAGAUCUUCGGG